GAGUUUGAUCCUGGCUCAGAACGAACGCUGGCGGCGUACUUAACACAUGCAAGUCGAACGCGAAAGUCGCCUUCGGGUAACGAGUAGAGUGGCGCACGGGUGAGUAACGCGUAGAUAAUCUACCCAUGUAUUUGGGAUAACAUCGGGAAACUGGUGCUAAUACCGAAUAAGUUCAUAGGUACGCAAGUAUUUUAAAGGAAAGGAGACCUCUUCUUGAAAGUUUCUGUAUAGGGAUGAGUCUGCGUACCAUUAGCUAGUAGGUAGGGUAAAAGCCUACCUAGGCUACGAUGGUUAGCGGGUCUGAGAGGAUGAUCCGCCACACUGGAACUGAAACACGGACCAGACUCCUACGGGAGGCAGCAGUGAGGAAUAUUGCGCAAUGGGGGCAACCCUGACGCAGUGACGCCGCGUGAGUGAAGAAGGUCUUCGGGUCGUAAAGCUCUGUCAGGUGGGAAGAAAUGUUUAAAGGUUAAUACCCAUUAGAUUUGACGGUACCACCAAAGGAAGCACCGGCUAAAUCCGUGCCAGCAGCCGCGGUAAUACGGAUGGUGCGAGCGUUGUUCGGAAUCACUGGGCGUAAAGGGCGCGUAGGCGGUAAUGUAAGUCAGAUGUGAAAGUCCUGGGCUCAACCCAGGAAGUGCAUCUGAAACUGCAUAACUAGAGUAUUGGAGAGGAAAGUGGAAUUCCUGGUGUAGAGGUGAAAUUCGUAGAUAUCAGGAGGAAUACCGGAGGCGAAGGCGACUUUCUGGACAAAUACUGACGCUGAGGCGCGAAAGCGUGGGGAGCGAACAGGAUUAGAUACCCUGGUAGUCCACAGCUGUAAACGAUGAUAACUAGGUAUAGGGGGGGUUAGCUCUUAUGUGCCGUAGCUAACGCAUUAAGUUCUCCGCCUGGGGAGUACGGUCGCAAGAUUAAAACUCAAAGGAAUUGACGGGGGCCCGCACAAGCGGUGGAGUAUGUGGUUUAAUUCGACGCAACGCGCAGAACCUUACCUGGUCUUGACAUCCCGAGAAUUUCCUAGAAAUAGGAAAGUGCCUCUUUACAGAGGAGCUUGGUGACAGGUGCUGCAUGGCUGUCGUCAGCUCGUGUCGUGAGAUGUUGGGUUAAGUCCCGCAACGAGCGCAACCCUCGCCUUUAGUUGCCAUCAUUAAGUUGGGCACUCUAAUGGGACUGCCGGUGUUAAACCGGAGGAAGGUGGGGAUGACGUCAAGUCCUCAUGGCCUUUAUGACCAGGGCUACACACGUACUACAAUGGCAUGUACAAAGGGCAGCGAGCACGUGAGUGUCAGCGAAUCCCGAAAAACUUGUCCCAGUCCGGAUUGGAGUCUGCAACUCGACUCCAUGAAGUUGGAAUCGCUAGUAAUCGUGGAUCAGCAUGCCACGGUGAAUACGUUCCCGGGCCUUGUACACACCGCCCGUCACACCACGAAAGUCGGUUGUUCCAGAAGCGGUUGGGCUAACCCGCAAGGGAGGCAGGCUGCCAAGGAAUGGCUGGUAAUUGGGGUGAAGUCGUAACAAGGUAACC
rnacentral:rRNA from 1 species